UACCUCCUUCUGAGCUCUGACACUUUCCUAUCUGUGCUCCCUGCUAAUCAAUUCACCAUGAAGGGCUUGGCGAUGCUGGUACUGGUGGCAGUUUCCACCUUCCUGGUCUCAGGCCAGACUACAACAGAUGUCCCAUCUGAUAGCUCUACUACUGUCCCAAAUCCACCACUGCGGGGCCCACUUCCAAAUCAGCUACUGCCUCCACUGAUGCCACCACCACCACAGUUCCCACCACCAUGACCAGUUCU